rnacentral:rRNA from 1 species
GAUGAACGCUGGCGGCGUGCCUAAUACAUGCAAGUCGAGCGAACAGACGAUGAGCUUUCUCCUUUGACGUUAGCGGCUGACGGGUGAGUAACACGUGGAUAACCUACUUCUAAUACUGGGAUAACUUCGUGAAACCGGUGCUACUACCGGAUAAUAUAUUGAACCGCAUGGUUCAAUAGUGAAAGACGGUUUUCCUGUCACUUUUAGAUGGUUUCGCGCCGCAUUAGCUAGUUGGUAAGGUAACGGCCUACCAAGGCAACGAUGCGUAGCCGACCUGAGAGGAUGAUCGGCCACACUGGAACUGAGACACGGUCCAGACUCCUACGGGAGGCAGCAGUAGGGAAUAUUCGGCAAUGGGCGAAAGCCUGACGGAGCAACACCGCGUGAGUGAAGAAGGCCUUCGGAUCGUAAAGCUCUGUUAUUGGGAAAGAAAAACUGUAGAAGAAAAUAUGGACGUCUUGACGGUACCUAAACAAAAAGCAACGGCUAACUACGUG